rnacentral:rRNA from 1 species
AUUGAACGCUGGCGGCAUGCUUUACACAUGCAAGUCGAACGGCAGCACGGGUGCUUGCACCUGGUGGCGAGUGGCGGACGGGUGAGUAAUGCAUCGGAACGUGUCCUGAAGUGGGGGAUAACGCAUCGAAAGAUGUGCUAAUACCGCAUAUUCUCUGAGGAGGAAAGUAGGGGAUCGAAAGACCUUAUGCUUUUGGAGCGGCCGAUGUCUGAUUAGCUAGUUGGUAGGGUAAUGGCUUACCAAGGCGACGAUCAGUAGUUGGUCUGAGAGGACGACCAGCCACACUGGGACUGAGACACGGCCCAGACUCCUACGGGAGGCAGCAGUGGGGAAUUUUGGACAAUGGGCGCAAGCCUGAUCCAGCAAUGCCGCGUGAGUGAAGAAGGCCUGGUUGUAAG